UUAAAAUGAGAGUUUGAUCCUGGCUCAGGACGAACGCUGGCGGCGUGCCUAAUACAUGCAAGUCGAACGAAACUUUCUUACACCGAAUGCUUGCAUUCAUCGUAAGAAGUUGAGUGGCGGACGGGUGAGUAACACGUGGGUAACCUGCCUAAAAGAAGGGGAUAACACUUGGAAAUAGGUGCUAAUACCGUAUAUCUCUAAAGAUCGCAUGAUCUUUAGAUGAAAGAUGGUUCUGCUAUCGCUUUUAGAUGGACCCGCGGCGUAUUAACUAGUUGGUGGGGUAACGGCCUACCAAGGUGAUGAUACGUAGCCGAACUGAGAGGUUGAUCGGCCA
rnacentral:rRNA from 1 species